GAUGAAGAACGUAGCAAAAUGCGAUACUUGGUGUGAAUUGCAGAAUCCCGUGAACCAUCGAGUUUUUGAACGCAAGUUGCGCCCGAAGCCUUUUGGCCGAGGGCACGUCUGCCUGGGCGUCACACAUCGCGUCGCCCCCCACAACUCUCCGUAAAGGGAACUUGUGUUUUGGGGGCGGAUAUUGGUCUCCCGUGCUCAUGGCGUGGUUGGCCGAAAUAGGAGUCCCUCCGGUGGACGCACGAACUAGUGGUGGUCGUAAAAACCCUCGUCUUUUGUUUCGUGCCGUUAGUCGCGAGGGAAACUCUUUAAAAACCCAAAUGUGUCGUCUCUUGACGGCGCUUCGACCGCGACCCCAGGUCAGGCGGGACUACCCGCUGAGUUUAAGCAUAUCAAUAAGCGGAGGA
rnacentral:misc_RNA from 1 species